UACGAAGGGGGCAAGCGUUGUUCGGAUUUACUGGGCGUACAGGGAGCGUAGGCGGUUGGGCAAGCCCUCCGUGAAAUCCCCGGGCCCAACCCGGAAAGUGCGGAGGGGACUGCCCGGCUAGAGGAUGGGAGAGGAGCGCGGAAUUCCCGGUGUAGCGGUGAAAUGCGUAGAGAUCGGGAGGGAGGCCGGUGGCGAAGGCGGCGCUCUGGAACAUUUCUGACGCUGAGGAUCGAAAGCGUGGGGAGCAAACAGG
rnacentral:rRNA from 1 species